AUACUUUCAUACAUUACAUCCAAUGUUUACACAAUACAACUUAUAGAGAUUUCUUCUACUCACUACAACCACUCUCUUAGGGGGGUUUAUUGGAUCAUUGAUUUGAAUGGAAUUGGAAAUCUAACUAAAAUCAUGUGUUAUUCAAUCAUUGAUUUUAAAAUCUUUAUAAAAAUCAUGUGUUAUUGGUUCUAUGAUUUACAAAUACUAGUUCAAAUCACCCCUUAUUCAAUAUUGAAGAUUUGAGUAUGGAUUUGAUUUCAUAUUGGAUUUGAAUGGAUUUGAAAAUCUGUUUUAGUUAUAAAUAGAGAGAUUGAAAUCCUUGGAUUCCACCUAGUUAUUUGGGUGGAUUUGAAAAAAAAAAAAAUAUUAGUAGUUUUUAUUUUCCAUAAUGUUUUGAAUAUCAAAAAGAAAAAAACUGCUAAUACAAAAAUCACGAAACAUCUUCGUAUAAUACUUUCAAGCAUAUCGAUCACAAAAAAAAAAACUGCUAAUACCAAAAAUCAUGAAACACCUUCAUAUAAAAGUAUAUUUUUAUCAUAUAAUAAAAAUCAAAAAUACUAGAAAACAAAGGAAGGUUUUCGAAACCAAACAAGACUAGAGGAAAAAUUCUAGAAAACCAACAAUACUAGAAAACAAAAAAAAAUUAAUCUAACAUUCCAUAAUGUUACGCUUAAUCCAACCAUGACGUUCAUUAGUAGACAUACUAACAAAGAUUUCUUUCAUCCCCAAUUGGUGAAUCACUUUAACCGCAUCGUAACGAACGGUUUUUUUUUCCAAAUUAUGGACUUUUUUGAUAUCUUCCUAUAUGUGUGGAGAGAACAAUCAGUGGAGAGAAACAAGAUCAUCAAACAUGUGGAGUGAUUCAAUUCAGAGUUCAUAGAUGAGAACAUGAUAGGUUAUUUUGUUUAUCAUAAAAAAUUUCAUGUUUUAAUUUUAUUAUCUAUUUUCUAUGAUUUUCAAAUCCAUUUUAUUUGACUCUAAAAUCAACUUUAUUUGAUUUUCAAAUCCACAUUGUUUGAUUUUAAAAUCAGUGGAUUAUGUGUGAAUUUCCAAAUGUGAUAGAGAUUUCUAAUUCUAUUCAAAUCAAUGAUCCAAUAACCCCUCCUUAGACUCUAAACUUGGUCACUAUUUGACCUUACCUCUAGACAUUAGACUUAGUAUUACAAGCAACCUUACACAACCUUACCUUAGCCACUUACAACCCCAACUACUCUAGCUUAAGUACUUUAGCUAGAAUAAGAUACAUAAGCUAAUUCUACGAAUGGGCCACAAAGAAACAUACUUCACCACUUUGGGCCUAUACUAACUUCAUCAGCCCAAUAAGACAAAACACAAAAACCCACUUCUCUUGUUGACUUUUCUUCUUCUUCUUCUCACGUCUUCUCUCUUACGACCAAGCCGACCACUUCGUCUUCUUCUUCAAGUUUCCAAUCUUCUUGUUCUUCAUCAUCGUUUGACUCAUAGUAGUUUUCUCUUUUGCAGGCUCAAUCGAAAACUCAACUCUCAACAGGUUGGUCUUUGGG
rnacentral:lncRNA from 1 species